CCUACGGGAGGCAGCAGUGGGGAAUAUUGGACAAUGGGCGAAAGCCUGAUCCAGCAAUGCCGCGUGAGUGAUGAAGGCCUUAGGGUUGUAAAGCUCUUUUACCAGGGAUGAUAAUGACAGUACCUGGAGAAUAAGCUCCGGCUAACUCCGUGCCAGCAGCCGCGGUAAUACGGAGGGAGCUAGCGUUGUUCGGAAUUACUGGGCGUAAAGCGUACGUAGGCGGUUAUUCAAGUCAGAGGUGAAAGCCUGGAGCUCAACUCCAGAACUGCCUUUGAAACUAGAUAGCUAGAAUCUUGGAGAGGUGAGUGGAAUUCCGAGUGUAGAGGUGAAAUUCGUAGAUAUUCGGAAGAACACCAGUGGCGAAGGCGACUCACUGGACAAGUAUUGACGCUGAGGUACGAAAGCGUGGGGAGCAAACAGGAUUAGAUACCCUGGUAGUCCACGCCGUAAACGAUGAUAACUAGCUGUUCGGGCUCUACGAGCUUGAGUGGCGCAGCUAACGCAUAAGUUAUCCGCUGGGAUACGUCGCAAGNUUAAACUUAAGGAAUUGACGG
rnacentral:rRNA from 1 species